CAGAAGUAAAUGACUGUGACUUAUCAACUUCACAGAUAAGUUUCCUCUUAUGAACCACCUUGACCAACGUGUGAUUUAGAAAAGUCAGAGAUGUAGGCUCUGCACUUUCAGGUUAGUAUUUAUGAGAAAUCACUUGAUUGACAGACAGUUUAACCAGCUGUUUUGCCAACACAGCACCUUUAUUUUUAAUUAAGAUUUUAAUCCUCCUGUAUGUAUUGAGAGUCAGUGUUAGACAGUGGGCAAACUCUUUAAUUCAGCAGGAAUUUUUUGGUCAUUAAUCAAGGUGUAGGUCUAUUUUUCUGAGCUCACUAAAACCUGUUUUUAAAGAUAUGUGGUCUUCACAAAGCAGCCCGGGCAAACAUAUGAUUUUAUAGAAUAUAGAAUAUAGAAUAUAACGCAUUACUGUAGCUCAAACAGCAUAUGAAGCAUAUAAAUUCAGCUCAACCUUCAACACCUACAGCAGUAAUCCAUAUAACACUGAUGGGGAACAAUGUUCUGCAGAAUACACUUGAUACUUUAAGUGCAAUUUGCCAAUAAUACAGAUUUAUGUGUAGUAAGGUGGUUUCAUUGCUACUUUUAUUAAAGGAGUGCUUCUAAAAAAUCCUCCAUCACUCUUCAUUGUGAGCUAAUAGCAAACAUUUAGAUGACAACUAUAUAAGUAAUAGUAUUUCACAACUCUAUAAGAUGUUCUCUUUUUGGAGGGGGUUGAGGUGGGGUGGCUGUCUCUGUUUGCGUUCCUGUAAAAGUCACCACAUGUCACCUUGGGUAAGAAUAUGUAUUCUUAACAUAAACAUAUACAAGGAUGAAUCUAAAUGAAGCUUAUGCGUAAGUUCAAUAAGGAACAUCUGUAAUCAGUCAUCCGCCUGCUUUCCUGGGUGUUCGAGCUGCUAGUCUGUUCUCUUCAUCACUUCCUCUUUCCCACGCUUGCAAACUCAAUCAUUACUCUACUCCAGUCUUUUUCUUGCCCACCUUCUGUGAGCCAAUCAGCUGCUAUUCUGUCUACUGUAAAUCUCACUGCUUUUCUGUCAUUCCCCCUUCAUCUUCAUUACCACCACCACCAUCUAGACUCUGGGGUUCCUAAUUCCUAUCAUUGUUAGGACUCCAGUCUGCUAUGAUGGGUCAACUGAGUUUAAUUGUCAAACAGCAUAAUAAUAGUCAAAUUCUUUAUCUCAAUACAUCAUGUUCGGUUCUUCCAAAUGGACUCCUGUGAAAAGCCGUUUUCUUAUCUGCUGUUUCUGAGUUCAGGUACUAAUUUUAACACUUGUGCACACCCUGUGAUAAAUGUUUUCACCGAGCAGGCUUGUUUGUUUCUGAAUUUGCUGUCACAGUUUAGCUGUUUUCAUUUCCACUGACACAUCAGGAGUAUGAGGGUUUUGUUCCUCCCUGUCUGUUAAUGUUGCUUCAGGGCUUGACUCAUACUCUCUAACAGGCAGAGACGCCGGAUGACUCCAGGCCUGCUGUUUACAAAAAAUGUAAAACUUCAUUUAAAAGGCCUCACAUGUUGUAUGCUUGCCUCACUUCUGUCAUACAACUGAUACCACACGCUUUCUGUGCCAACAGCCGAAACAUUAAACAUCACUGCGACUUGGCUUGUAUAAUACGACGACUCCCACUUCACUUCAUUUCGCAUAUUUCUCUUAUGUAAGUGCAUUACAAGUAUUGGUUUGCAUAUUUAAAUAACACAAACUAUCAAACCUACCACAGUGACCACACAAUGACCACAGUCUCUUACUCUCGAUGUUGCAAUAAUCAUCAGAAAUGAAGCAAAAGAAAACUAUUUUUAACUGUAAAGGCUGUGAAUCAGCGGUGCCCACACAGAGCUAAGCUGACAGAUUAGUUGGACGUGAUUGGACAUAAAACAAUGAAUGGAAAUCUGACAGAGCGAUAAAGCUGGUGGACAUGCACGGCAUCUGCAGCAGCCGUCUCUGCUCAGUAGAUGGUGCCAUCUCUCCUGUGAAUAAACCCGGAGGCUUCGGUGCAAGUCAUCUUUGAUGCUCCCGAUUCUUUGACUCAUGGCUAGAAGAUGAGCGUUGGAUCAAAAUGUAGGGAGGGAUAGUGGGAUGGAGAUGGAGCUGCCAGGCAGGAGGAAAAAACUGAAGAGCAAAGAGAAGAUUCAUGGAUGUAGUGAAGGACAUGCAGAGGGUUGGCGUGACAGGAUACUGAGGACGGAGUCGGAUGGAGACAGACGACCCGCUGUGGCGAGCCCUAAAGGGAGCAGGCGAGAGAAGAUUUAAUUUCACCGCUUACUCCGUUUCAUCAUUUGAGAUUUGUAUUUUCUUACAGUUUUUCUCAGUUGCUAAGAAACAUUUCUCAGAACUUUUCUCAGUCUUCUCAAAGCUUUAAACAUAAAACCCUGUUUUCAAAAUACUUUAACCUCUUGUGAGGCAAACCCUCACAGUUCAGAACUACACAUAAAUCUUCAGAUCACACGCAUGACCAUAAAAAUAUAAACACCAUUCAACAUUCAUGACACGCUGCAUAAAAAAAAUUAAAAACAGUGUUCUUGACAUGUAACUCUGGUCUUUCCAAACUCGGGGUUGUUUUAUAAUUCUACAAAAAUGAUAAAGUAUGAAAUAAAAACAGAAAUGAGUCCUCCACUGCCACCUCCCUCCUCCUCCAGUAUCAUGUAACAUCACAGUACAGCAGAGGUUUAAGAUCAUGGUGGCUUAUUUUAAAUUCUUUUAUAUGUCAUGCUGUAAUUUACGUAUGAAAGCAGAUGGUUCAUCCAACAUAACUAUGUGUUAUAAGAGUAUGAAUCAAGUGCACAUGAAGGAAAUGUGGAGCCGGUAAACCAUAGUUUAAGACAAAGAAGUCUGAUGGUGUAUUAUUUUCUUUGAAAGUACAAGUGUUGGGUCCUUUCCCGUUUCUAGUUUGCAUUUUUUGUAGAACUGCAAGAGAAUCACUUUUUCAAGGAUCUGGACUCAAAUACAGGACAUCAGAAUAAAGGCUUAACAGGCUUAUUGAAGAUAGAGUCAUCUUGAGAGGUAUUUCCUCCGCAGCUUUUCUUUUCUCGCCACCGGUUUCACCACACGGGCUGGCAGAGACGAGGAAACAUCCACAGCAGAGCCGAACUACACAUCGACCUGGCAUCAACCGAGGGGACUCUUCAGCCUUAAAGAGCCGGUGGGUAAUCACUGGAUUGCAGACAGUUGGAUGAUUAUGGAUGAUAUGAAACAGCUUCCAGGUGUGUAGCCAGAGUAACCAUGGGAACAAACGCCAUCUCUGAAACACACAAGCAGGUUAAGGGACGAACCCACACUCACACUCACACAGAGAGAGGAAAGAGAUGCAGAUUGCCACAGGAGGACCAGAGGACUGUGACACACAUGAGGUUUCAAGUGUUGAGUUACACAUACAGAAGUUUACUAAAAUCUGCUCAGCUUUUUAGAAUUCAUGAGACAAUUAAAAUCCAAGAAGAGCCUCUGUCCACUCAGAUGAGGACCUAUUUAUGUUGGAAACAUUGGGAAAUACUGCUCUCUUUGCUUCUCGAGCCACAACCUUUGAGAUGCAUUGUUUUACAUCCUGAAGCCCUAUCAGAUCACCUGAUGCUGGAGAGACACAGAGACAUCAGCAGAUCAGAGUGAGCUUUAUAUCCAAACACCUACAAAGUCCUGAGUUGUCUACACAAAGUUGACAAACUAAGAAUCUCAAAGACACUAACAUCUCUCAGUGUUUCAAACACACACUCAAAAUAAAAGCUUCUUUGCCCUCAUAACCAUGAAGCAAUAAUUCAGACUGAAUACAUGAAAAUCAAAGGUGUAUGCAUUCAAAAAAAGAUUAAUACGGGGUCUGCAAUUUGUGUCUAAUGAGCUAAAAACCAUUUAAAGUUUGGUUGAUUCACUACAUUAGCUUAAAUCACCGAGAUUUUGGUUCACAUAAAGUGAGUUGGGGCUUUUGCGGUUCACAAAAACACUGUAAUACUCGAGUAUCUUCUUCUCAUUUAGGUCCAAGGUAAUAACUCGACAGCAACCCCUCGCUGGCUAAUCUGCUGGAUGAGAACAUGUUAACUCAGCAGCAGACCCGAGCAGCCGGUAGUGGACGCUCUCAUCUUGUGACUCUCGCAAAUAAUGAGUCCUCAUUACUCACAUGAGCCAUGAGGACAAUUUGUCACCAGUAAUACACUCAAAUACGUUCUGCGGUUCAGGUACGCAUCAGGCAGCAUGUGAUCUUCUACACACGCUGACCUGCACUAAGUCAACUUCACUGACAUCUGUUUAAAUCAGUCUGGAUUGAUUCUGAGAGGGCAACGCUCUUUAAAUCACCCCUAGAUACAUACUAAUAGCUCAUUUUGCAUUUCACUCUGGAUUAGGGCAGGGCUGUCAAACUCAUUUCAGUUGGUGGGUCACAAAUUACUGCUUCAUAACUGGCCUGUCUUUAAAUUUAAAAGAGAACAAGUGAACAUUCACAUUUAAUAAACUAUUCAUUUCAAAAGCAGAUGAUGAACAGCAAAGAGAACGUUUUCACAGGGCUCUCUGCAGUCCUGUGAAACACUAACCCCAUAACAAGUUCAUUGUA